UUCUGCUUCUGGGGUCCAUGUAAUUUUGCCAUGAGCUGUCAAUUUUUUGCCAUGGACCGUAGCUGAGAGGGGUGCCUCUCGCUCUGAAUAAUUAGGGAUCCUGCAAUUCGUUUGGGAGAGAGGGAUUUGCCCUCUGCUGUGAUCACAUGUCCCAGAACCUCCCUCAGUGUCUCUCCUCCAGAAGACUCCCUCCUCUCCAGUCAGCUGCCACGCUACAGGUUUCUACCCUGACAGUGCCACACUCAUCUGGAGGAAAGAUGGAGAGGAGCUUCAUGAGGACGUGGACCACGGAGAG